rnacentral:lncRNA from 1 species
UUUUCCUCAGCAGUCUUGUCCGGGACCCAGCCCAGUACCCAAGGCUCAACUCCACAUCACUUCCAGGUUCCUGGAAACCAAAGUGAAAAGGGAAACAAUCAGCUACAAGAAACAGUAUUGCACCAUGGUUACAAGAGCAGGUUUUGGCGUAAGACAGCUACUUCCUGACUGCAAGACCUCAGGGCUCUGCCUGUUCCCCAAGGAACCACCACUACAUCAAUAUCCUUGGAAAACAAAGAGGAAAAUACAAGCAGCAGUGCAUUACCAUGAAUGACAAGAUAAAGAUGCCCUUGAUUUCCAGCACCGCCACCAUUCAACCAUCAACUACGGGUUCCGAACACUGUGAGAAGAAGAAAGAAAGAAAGAAAAUGGAAAAAGAGAACAGAGAAUUCAAGUAGUGGGAGCUCCAGACAGUCUACAGGAGUCUUGAAGAAAGCGUUCAUGGUAUCGACACCGAUGAAGGUAAACCUUUCUUCCUCCGUGGCCUGAGCAGUCAGCUCAGCCUGCUGUCACUUUGGAGUCAGACACAAAAGAAAAUUCCUCCCGUAGCCCUGUGACUUAGGUCUGUGUGACCUUGAGCAAAGUUAACUUCUGGGAACCUUGGUGUCCUGAGGAAAUGGGCAUCAUAGCUCCUUGCAGGAGCUUGCACACCUAAAUGAAGGCUGCAAGGCUCACAUGAUCUGAGCAGCCUAGGGAGCUGCCCAGAAUCUGAAGCUAAGCCGGUAGACCCUUGACACUAGCUGUGGGCCCUGGACAGUUGCCCGUCCAUGCCUCAGUUUUCUUGUCUAUGAAAUGGGAAUAUUGCUACCUGCUCAAAGGGUCCUGAUGGAGUUUAGAAUAAGCCAAUAGUACAAAGUACUGAAACAAUGCCUGGCAGAAAAGUGCCGUAUGAGCAUUUGUUAAAUUAAAACUUAAUAUGAAAAGGCAAGUGUUUUCUCAUAUCCUCAUAAGAGGGACUCUUUUUUUUUUUUUUUUUUUUUGGUCUUUUUUGUCUUUUUAGGGCUGCACCCGUGGCACAUGGAAGUUCCCAGGCCAGGGUCGAAUCGGAGCUGUAGCUGCCAGCCUGCACCACCGCCACAGCCACAGCCACAGCCACACAGAUCUGAGCCGCAUCUUCGACCUAUACCACAACUCACACAACGCCGGAUCCUGACCCACUAAGCAAGGCUAGGGAUCAAACCCGAAACCUCAUGGUUCCUAGUCGGAUUCGUUUCCCCUGCACCACGACGGUAAACUCCGUAAGAGGGACUCAAGGACUUAGAAGUUGAUCAAAA